AUUGAACGCUGGCGGCAGGCCUAACACAUGCAAGUCGAACGAGUGGCGGACGGGUGAGUAAUGUCUGGGAAACUGCCUGAUGGAGGGGGAUAACUACUGGAAACGGUAGCUAAUACCGCAUACCCUCGGAUGUGCCCAGAUGGGAUUAGCGUGGAGGUGGGGUAACGGCGCACCUAGGCGACGAUCCCUAGCUGGUCUGAGCGGCGGACCAGCCACACUGGAACUGAGACACGGUCCAGAGUCCUACGGGAGGCAGCAGUGGGGAAUAUUGCACAAGGUGCGCAAGCCUGAUGCAGCCAUGCCGCUUGUAGUAAGAAGGCCUUCGGGUUGUAAAGUACUUUCAGCGGGGAGGCGUUACCCGCAUAAGAAGCACCGGCUAACUCCGGGCCAGCAGCCGCGGUAAUUC
rnacentral:rRNA from 1 species